UACGGAGGAUGCAAGCGUUAUCCGGAUUCAUUGGGUUUAAAGGGUGCGUAGGCGGACUAUUAAGUCAGUGGUGAAAGCCUGCAGCUUAACUGCAGAACUGCCAUUGAUACUGAUAGUCUUGAGUUUGGUUAAGGUAGGCGGAAUGUGUAAUGUAGCGGUGAAAUGCUUAGAUAUUACACAGAACACCAAUUGCGUAGGCAGCUUACUGAGCCGACACUGACGCUGAGGCACGAAAGCGUGGGGAGCAAACA
rnacentral:rRNA from 1 species